GAAGGCCUCCAACAGGCAAACACAGACACACACACGAGUGGGAGGGGCCUAACAAGAAGGCCUCCAACAGGUCGUGGCACAACGUGUACUGCGUGGUCAACAAACAGGAAGUGAGUUUCUAUAAAGACGGGAAGGCGGCGGCGACUGGCCUGUCGUAUCACGGAGAAACAUCGCUGAGCCUGCAGGACGCCGUCUGUGACGUGGCCUCAGAAUACAAGAAGAAGAAGCACGUCUUCAAACUACGGUG